AAAAGCUUCCCAAGGCGCCAACCUUCAAGAUUUAAAGGGAAGUAGGGCUGAUUUAGCUCUGUUCUGGUUCUGUUUCUGCUCAGCAUUCUCAGGUCUAAGAUUCCUGGGUUGGCUUCUGAGAGGGAGGAGACAGCCACCACAGCAAGAACAGCACCAGGAGUUUUAGAUUAAAAAUGGAAAGCAGAGAGUAGUUGGCUGAGUCCCUGAAUGUGGAACCCAUGGAUGUGGAGGGCUGUUGCACAAAUUUCUCAGUGCCUCCAAAGAACAUCUAGAGUGUCUCCUUUUACCCUUCAUGUGGAGUAACACUAAACUAAGAAAACUGCAGUUGCUGGAAGCUUGUGGCCAGGGCCCUGAUGAGAAUGAGAGGCUGAAAGAUGCUGGCGUCACUCUGUGGAUUGCUGUCCGGUUGUGCUGGAUGAUGCCAGUGGCUGAGAGUAGAGAAGCGUGGCCAGGUUGACCUCAGAACUUUUCAGGUAACAGGGAAGAGGAAGAUGAUGAUGGCGGUGGUGGGGCUCCCUGUGAGUCUUGACCUGAACACUUUACCGUUGACCUUGCCUCUGGAACCUUCCCUGGUGGGGGCUCAUCAGGGCUGACAGAAUGGAGACAUGAUAUCUGGACUUGAGCAGCCACCUUGGACCACGAGAUGACAUGACAAUGACAGUGAAUUACAAAAUCAGAAGAUGACAAGUGGAGCCAUCAUAUCAACCCUGGGCUGUCUAUCUCUGGGCUUCUUAUAU
ensembl:lncRNA